GGUCAUAUGACGUUGAAUCAUCAGUUCUCGUAUGAUCACCGAAGUUAAGCAACGUCGAGACUGGUCAGUACCUAGAUGGGUGACCGCUUGGGUAUAUCAGGCGCU